CACUGAACCAAAUCUGGAAAUAAAAUUUACUGGGUCAUUUUAUUAAUUUUUAAUGUUAAUCGCUCAGAUACGAAGUAAUGAAUUAUCCAGUAAAAGUUAUUGGAAAAUCCAAUAAAUUCUACAAGUGUAUCUAGUUGGUGAAAAACGUACUAAAAAGUAUAGGAAAAUCUAAUGAAUAUUAUGAGCCUAAUAAUCGUAAUCAAAUAUAUUGGAAAAUCCAUUAAUUUUCACGUGUUUAUUUAUAAAUAGUAUUUAUAUUUUCCAUAUCUAAUAAAUUUACUAACAAUUCGAACCGACUCGAUCGAUUUGUAAGUUCUUUACUAGAAGGCUCACAAGUUUUUUUUUAUGGAAAACAUAAAUUGGUGCGUCCAUCAUCAGCGACAGCUAGAGCGUCAAAUAAACUCAAGCGCUUGUGAUAGAUUUAAACCGUGUCUAUUUGUCCAGCCAAACAAUCGCAUCGAGGCCGACAACAACGCAAGCAAUGAAGCUCGACAAAGCAAUGAAUGAUUUUUCACACCAUCCUGCCGUACAAACUCCGGAGCAGUUCCAGCGCCUAACAAAGUAAACAUUGGGCCGGAACAACCAGCACCACUUCAUCAACAGCAGCGGCAGUAAGUUCCGGAUCCACGAUUGCGGCCAGAGACGCCAACAAACCAACUGGAAUCAGUGGAUUCAAAAGGAAAUAUGCUCUGGAAAAAAAGUGGAUCCAAACACUUCCGACAUGCUGUUGGAUCCGGACGCGUCGAAACCGCUGAACGAAUUUCUGUGGCUUAAAUAGUUCAAACAGCAAGCAAGCGAAAAAGCUUGACAAAGUACCCAGAAAAAGAAAAAACUCCACCAUCCAUCCCGACAAACAUCGGAGCAGGUUUAGCGCCAAACGAGAUGAACACUGGGCCGGAAUCAGCAUAUCACAUCAACAGCAACAGCAAAGUUAUAAAGCCACAAAGAGUCACUUUUUCUUCUCAUGCGUGGAAGUGGCUCAGGCAGCGAUCACAAUGGAACAGUGUGGAUAUGAUGGUGGCUCCCUCGCUCCAUUCUGAACCGUAGGUUUUCGAGUGAUGGAUCCGGAAGCCGAGGCCAGUGCUGUUUUCUUCAUAAAGUAGCGAAGCGGCAACAGCCCGGAGGCAGAAACAGUAAAAGUGUGUGUACGCGUUCAACGGUUCUGGCAACUGCGGCCCAUUGCUGGAUUUUCUGACUCAGACGGUUAAAAACUACGGCCCCCUGGAAAGGCUUACCCAGCAAAUAUGACAACUAUGUGGAAACUCAUUUUACGAUUUUCUGGGACAAGCUCACGGACCCAAUUGAUGUGCUUUCUCAAGCGUAUCACCCAAUCAGUAGCCAGCUACAAACCUGCCAAUGUAGUUAUAUUCAAAGUUCAUCGCUCCAGUAGAUUGCGGCUCAAACGGAUGUUUUUAAUGUAUCCCAAGAAUUUUACUACGUUGCAAAACUCAACGCCAACUUAAGUUCAGAUUCGACAUCAUUUGACAAAAAGAUCAGGCUCCAGCAUGGUACAUGGCAAGCGUUAAUGAUAAGUGCAGAUAACAAUCGUAAGGGUGCUGAAAACAUGCGGACACGAUAUGGAGCCACACCGAUCAUACUUAAAAAAGUUUGCUUAUCAACAUCAUACGCAUAAGAUAAGAAAAAGGACGAUUUUAUAGAUUCACAUAGCUAAUAAAAUAUAAUAAUGCUUCAAGCCCAGAUGUUUCAUUUUUCAUAAGAAAUCAAUUUAAAAUCGAAAGAAUAGUUAAAUACAUUCAUUUCAUUGUCUAGAAUAAUCAUUUGUAUCAAAUUUUCGGUUAAAUUACUUUCACUGGAAAUUCCUAUAAAAUUUAUCGGAACGCUAAACUAUAUGCGCAAAAUUUUGCGCUCACUCAUAAAAAGUAUUGGAUU